GGUGGGAGCUCUCAUGGGUAGAUGAAGCGAAUGCUGAGGUGCUGCAGCUGUGAGCAGGAGGAAAAUUAAGCUGUGAACUGGAAUUCCAUCAGGCUGUCUACUGUGAAGCCCUGUGGCUUUAGCAAAGGGGCAGCAGUGGUCAGAAAUGACACUCAAAAGCAAAUGACGUGUAAUUCAUAGUGGACUUCCUACUCCUGUGAAAGAAAGGAAGAAGAUGCUUUUGCUUCACACAAUCUUUGCAUCUAAGGAGCCUUGGUGCGCAUCCCAUUCACGGAGGAAGAAGAGCCCGGGAGAGCCUUGCCUGGCAGGAGGGAGCUGUCAGCACAAAGCAGUGGCUCCUGCUCCACCAUGGGCUCGCUGCUGGCACAAGGGGAGUCAGUGCCACUGACAUAAAGGAGGUUACACCUUUUGUGACGUUAACGCCAGCAGUGGCUUUGGCCCUUUUGCUUCUGCAUACUGUAGUGAGUCAAAAGCAGGGUGAAAUGAAGAAAUAUUUAUGUUGGCUUCCAAACCAGAUUGAAGAUAAAUUGCUGUUAAGCUCCAGUUCUGUCUAACCAUUGAUACGUGUAAUAUAGCAAAUUAAUUAAAAGCUUAUACUCACAAUAUAUAGGGAUUUCAAUUGUUUUAAAGUGGUGGUUAGUCUUUCAGCAACUGGAAGUUACAUGCGACUGAGUUAUUCAGUAGUCAGUGCUUCCAGAACUGUCUGUUUCAAGUAGUUUACUACUCUUCCAAUUUCUUCAUGCCAAUCACUUUUUGUGGAUUUUGAUCUUGCAUUGAACAAACCAGAACCGUCCUUUGCCCUUUUUAUAAGUGCCCCCAAAGCAGGGUAUGAAGUGGGUUGAUGACAGCCCAUCCAUCUCGCUGUUUUUGAAAGGGAUUCUCCUACUGGACAUCAUGCGGGGAAGCGUUUUUCUGAAGCCCACCCACCUUGCCCCCCUUCAGAAGUGGCUGCAUUUUCCUAAGGCAUUUCUUGGAGGGGUAAGCCCGCAUAUCAAACAGCAGAUUUCUUAAUGACAUAUAGCGAUGUUGACUUUACUGAUGCUUCAGCUGCAGUUGUCUUAAUAAAGGCUGUCG